GGGAACAUUUGGUUAUACCGCGUACCGAUAUUGUUAAAUACGCCGACGUGCCUUGGUUUAAGUUGUUGUGGAGGAAGGAUGGCUGGCUUGAUAACACGCACAUUGAUGCACUCAUAAACAUGCUCAUCAUAACUUUUGAUAACCAUAUCGGUGUGACUGUGAAGCGGCGGUGGACUUGCAUGGAGAUUCCAUGUUCGCACGCAUUAACAGGGUCCAAUUUGUAUGAUGUUUUGGUUGUGGUGAUGCCUUACGUCCGUGGUGAACGGCCGAUAAGAGGCGGAUUGAAGUGGUGUGAUUCUAAUCACAUCUUUGGUAUCACCAAUAUCAAGAAUUAUCAUUGGAUAUUUUAUGAUGUGUCGUUGGAGGAGCAAUUGAUCAGGGUAUACAACUCAUUGGAGCAUAAUUGAGAAGAUGUCGUCUCACACUUUGCCAAUAUGCGCAAGAACCUACCCAUCGUUUGCAGUUUUGGUGGUCUUUGGGAGUCCUCAAGUCUGAAACGUAAACCGUUGAAACCAUUCUGGAACAUUGAGAACUUCGCCUCAGCUCCAAAACAAAUUAAUCAGAGCGACUGCGGUAUUAUGGCUAUGAAAUAUAUGGAGUGUUGUGCUUACAAUGUUUCGGUCACGGAAAUGGAUCCUAGUCGGUGUGAAAUUUCUCGUCGACGUUACUGCGCGAAGUUGUUUCAACUUUCGGAGUGGCUAAAAAAUACCGCAAUGGAAUGAUUUGCUUGGUCAUUUUUUACUUUUGCUGUUGCACUUGUGCAUAUACACAACUAUGUUGAAGUGCUUAAGUACUCCGAUGUGCUUCGUUUGACGGUUUUAAUGUUUGUUUUUUGGAUGAUUUUU